rnacentral:rRNA from 1 species
AUACGGAGGGUGCAAGCGUUGUCCGGAUUUACUGGGUUUAAAGGGUCCGUAGGCGGGUCUUUAAGUCAGUGGUGAAAUCCUACGGCUCAACCGUAGAACUGCCAUUGAUACUGAAGAUCUUGAGUAUAGUUGAGGUAGGCGGAAUUUAUGAUGUAGCGGUGAAAUGCAUAGAUAUCAUAAAGAACACCAAUUGCGAAGGCAGCUUACUAAACUAUUACUGACGCUCAGGGACGAAAGCGUGGGGAGCAAACAGGAUUAGAAACCCGAGUAGUCC